UUCCCCCUCCCCCUCCUCCCCGCCCCCCGACAUGUACAAACAAGGCGAUAACGAAAGUGAAGAGCUGAAAAAGCCCUUACCCCAUAUACAGUAUUGAUGUACAGUGCUGUGUUUGUAAUCAGGACGGGGGGUGAAGCAGCGAUGAGAGAAGUAUUACUGAUUGUUGACGCAAAAAAAAAAAAAAAAAAAAAAGGCAAGGAAGAAGUGCUCCAGGAGAGGAGAUACAAGACAGAAUUUGCUCAUCGAUUUUCUUAAAUGGAAGUUUUAAAGGAUAUGGGUGCAUGAAGAGAGGGAAAGGGAUAACCUUCCUUCUAAAAACAUCAAAUUGCCAAGACACAGCCUCCAUCCAUCGCCCAUGUUAAAAAAGACUUUUUUAAGGGGAAACUUGCCAAAGGCCAAAAGAUCCUCACUUCUCUCCCUUCCCAAGGCAUAUCCUUCUUUCUAUUCCACAUGUAUACGUUUAUGUUUACCUCAGAUUUGUACUGAGUGAGGCAACCAGAAAUGCUGGCAAUCGAAAUUUUCCACCAUCGCGAUUGUUCCGGGUCCACUAAAACUAUUUCCAGUAGCAAUCUUUCGUUUUAAGAGACAGAACCAGCAAAAUAGCAGGGAGCUACACUUGUGUAUCAAGAUCUGCAGAAGAUGGCCAUGAAAAAGCGCCCGGAGACAAAAACAAAUCAGAAGCCUCAGGUGGUCUAACUUGUACCUCUGAAACCGAAGUGCCACUGCGUGUGUACACAAGGGACCCAGCAUAUGCCUAUAUAUAAGUACAGUCUGUGUGUGCCUCUCAGAUGAGAUGAUUAAGAACAUGCACGCACACCACAGCUCUACCUAGCUUAGAGGGGUUUAGCCUUGGGAGAAAGACGUCUCAGAGCUGUCCCUCGCUGUUUUCCCUGUGUGCCAGAAGGGGCCGCUGCACUGAUUCGCCAGGGCAAACAAUGCGAGGGUUGAUUCCAUUUGCAAAGUUGCUGCCUGAUCCGGCUUCCUCCGAAGGCGACGGCAACCCCCCCCUCCACUAACUUCAGUGGCAGCAGGCUCGGACGCCCGAGUUGCGCACGGCUUAGCAGGGCGGGAGCUCCCUGCCUCCUGUCACGCUCGUAGGGCACCGUGGCGCAUUUCUCAGCGGCGCGGUCCGCCGAGACGCAGACACAGCCCCUCCCGCUCCAGGCUCCGCUCUGUACAGACAGACCCAGGCUACGUACAGCUCUCGCUACCUCUCUAGGUUGCGGAACGCAUGUUCUGUGGAGGAGUAUCGCAGUCUAUUGUAGUCGCUAAAUGGAGAGGAUAUUUCUAUUGACUUUUUUUGCACAAUCCGAUCAGUAACACACUGAUUUAUAAUUGCUUACCUUUUCAUAGCAUAUCACUAAAGAAAGCUGCGUCCCUCCUCUCUGAUUUUCCAAAUCCGCUGCAUUACGAUCCAGUUAGACAGCUAUCAUUUCAAACCGUUUGGAUUUCGAUUAUGAGAUGAAACCGCAGUGGAAGCCACGUGUAAAUCCGCUCGCUUGGAGCUCUAAGACUCUUUUACCAGUGCCUUUGUGACAGCAAGCGAAGGAGCAGGGGGAAUAAAAGCAAAAGAUCCCCCAUCCCCCUUUUGCUGAUUUCAGCCUGUUCCUUCUCUGACUGCUGAAGCUAAAACCUAGGGGCUAUAUGGUCAAAACCUGACACUCACAGACAGGACUGACGUUCAGAGUGCUCAAUCCCACUUCAAUCAGUUGGUCUCCAGUUUGAAACAAAGCACUGCUUGGGACGUGGGAGGGAUGCAAACCACAGUGGAUUCUCUUUACAGUGAAUGAAGUGCAAUUCAGUGCAGCACAUGGAGACUUCUCAACGAUCUUAAAUCUGGAUAUAAAACAUAACCUUUAAAGUCCUGGGAAGGAGCUAAACUAUAACCUGAAUUCAUUUGGGGGAUGCAAGACCUCCUCUUGUCUUGAUCUAACUAGUGUGCAAAUGUUUCCUAACAGUACUUUUACUGUAUCUGCCACAUGAAAAGAUCCACAGGGCUGCUGUCCUUUCCCUUUCAACAAUAAUUCUACUGUACUGCAUUGAAUCUUUAGCUCCAUUCACUUUUUAUAUUAAAUUAUUGUUUGGGAAAUUAAAAAAGAUACUGGAGCGGAAUAAGAUAAAAAUAUCAAAGAUUAAACAACCUAGAUCUGUAACUUAAAAAAAAACAAUAAAAAAUUGCAUAUUUUCUCGAGGUCUUCAAUUGUGUGGUAUGGACCUUAAUGUCUUCAAUAGUAAUUUCCAUCUUCCAGGUCUCAACUGACCCAUGUUACAAUAGCAGCCUCAAGUAAUACAUUUUAGAACCAGAUAAGUGAAAUGAUGGAGUGCAGUCUACAGCUAGGGGAUUUACUAGUUGGCCAUAAGAAGCAUGACAUUAAAAUAAUUACUUGUUUAUGACAA